UUCAACUUGAGAGUUUGAUCCUGGCUCAGAACGAACGCUGGCGGCAGGCCUAACACAUGCAAGUCGAGCGCACCUUCGGGUGAGCGGCGGACGGGUGAGUAACGCGUGGGAAU
rnacentral:rRNA from 1 species